rnacentral:rRNA from 1 species
UACGGGGGGAGCAAGCGUUGUUCGGAUUUACUGGGCGUAAAGGGCGCGUAGGCGGCCACCGCAAGUCGACUGUGAAAUCUCCGGGCUUAACUCGGAAAGGUCAACUGAUACUGUGCGACUAGAGUGCGGAAGGGGCAACUGGAAUUCUCGGUGUAGCGGUGAAAUGCGUAGAUAUCGGGAGGAACACCGGUGGCGAAGGCGGUUCUCUGGGCCUUACCUGACGAUGAGGAGCGAAAGCGUGGGGAGCGAACAGG